GACGAACGCUGGCGGCGUGCUUAACACAUGCAAGUCGAACGAAGUGGCGAACGGGUGAGUAACGCGUAAUCAACCUGCCCUUCAGAGGGGGACAACAGUUGGAAACGACUGCUAAUACCGCAUACUGAAGGUGGGGAUUGCGUCUGAUUCGGUAGUUGGAUGGGUAACGGCCGACCAAGGCGAUGAUCAGUAGCCGGUCUGAGGGGAUGAACGGCCAAAUUGGGAAUGGGACACGGGCCCGAAUUCUACGGGAGGCAGCAGGGGGGAAGUUUCCGCAAUGGACGAAAGGCUGACGGAGCAACGCCGCGUGAGUGAUGACGGGCUUCGGGUUGUAAAGCUCUGUUAAUCGGGACGCGGUACCGGAAUAGAAAGCCACGGCUAACUACGUGCCAGCAGCCGCGGUAAUUC
rnacentral:rRNA from 1 species